AGAGAAAGAGUUCGCAGGUGAGAGAGGAAGGUGUUGCGCCGCCGUUCGUUGCUGUUCAGCCACCGCCACGCCUUGUCGUCGCCGGAGUUACCACCGCCACGUGCCACCGCCGCUUCUCACCGCCGAGGGGAAGCCUUGUCUACGUUGCUGCCUUGGUCGUCGGUGAGUUGUGCACCGCCACCAGAGUCAAAGAUAGCGCCAGCCUUGUUCUGAUUUCAAUUCUCCUAUUCUUGAAACUUCGUUGCUGGUUUACCGUUCGAAAAAGGCAUAAUUGAUGCUGAGAUCGUUGUUGUUCUUGCUCCGAGAGAACUGAUGUCACUGUCGUUGCUGUUGGUUCUGAAUCCUAUUACAUUGAUUCUGAGCUAUGUUUGUUUUUUAUUCUUAUCCAAUUCGAAUCCUUGUCUCGCUGAAACCAUCGUCACUGCCAUAAGAGAUUGACAAUGCUGCUGCUUCAGUUGCGUGCUUGCUGCUGCCAUAAAAAUUAAAAGAGAAGGGAGUUACCACGUUUAAUCUAUGUUAAUUCAACUAAUCGAGGUAGGGG